AGCCUCCUGGUGCUUAUCACAGGUUGUUAUUACACUGACUGUAUAAAGAGAAGGGAAAGUAAACCUAACCCCAUAUAUACCUCAGCUCAGGACCUGUGCCUGAUCUGAAUUGUGAAUGGGAAGGCAUGG
rnacentral:snoRNA from 1 species